UAUGUUUUUGAACAAGUCCAUAUCAUUUUGAGAUUUAGGGCAAAUCCCAUAUCACAAAAAUGGUGAUAUUGGGUGUUUUCAACACUGUAGCGGCCAUACCAAAAGCCCAAACCAAAAACAGCCGAUCCAAACCACUAUCAAGUUAUACUGUAGCGGCAUAUCACAUAUAAGACCAAAUUUUAUAAACCCUAGCUCGUUUCUACAAAAUAUUUCUCUCUCUUCGUUUUUUCACUCCGGAGGCGACUGAGGGGCGAUUCCUUUGAAACGAAGAUCGGGGUUGGUAGUCUGCAAAUCUUUCAAAAAGAAAGACCAAUUUCAACUCGGUAUCGGCUUUCCUAUCGUUUCUCUCUACUCUCUGAAACCCUAGCUUAGUGGCCAGCACAUCGAAGUUAUUUACACUCCAAAUUUGUAACAUAACCUGAAAAAAGGUUAGAUAUAUCUUGCUUAGUACUGUUAAAUUACUUCAUUUGUACCAUGUGUUAUUUUGUUUUUCUCUAAUAUUGUUCAUAUGUUUGGUUUUGCAUGAGGUCAUUUACACUCCAAAUUUGCAACAUAGCCUAAAAAAAGGUCAUUUACACUCCAAAUUUGCAACUUAGCUUAAAAAAAGGUUAGAUAUAUCUUGCUUAGUACUAUUAAAUUACUUCAUUCCUACCAUGUGUUAUUUUAUUUUUCUCUAAUGUUGUUCGUGUGUUUGGUUUUGCAUGAGGUCAUUUACAUUCCAAAUUUGCAACUUAGCCUGAAAAAAGGCUUAGUAGAAUGCAGCUAUUUCGUGGUGGAGUUGAAGGACAUGGCAGUAAGUUGUGGGCAGUGGCACCAGUGUGAUUUAUAGGAAGCAUUCUCCAGUUGCUGCAACUUCAGGAAGCUAGUGAUCUCUAACUUAAUCAAAUGGAGGCCUAUGCAAGUAUAAAGAAGUGUGUGUACAUUUUAUGGAAUGAAUUGUAGUGAUCUUCAGUUGUGUGUACAUUUUAUGUAAGUAUAAUGAAGUGUGUGUGUACACAUAUACUAAUUUUAAGGAAUGUCUAGCUCCCUAUAUGUGCAAGUAUAUAUGUGAAUGGUGCAACAACAAUUUAUUAAGUUUGUGAUGUACAAAAAAAAACUUGUCGUUUGA